ACUGCUCAGUAACACGUAGUUAACCUAACCUAUGGAUGGGGAUAACCUCGGGAAACUGAGAAUAAUCCCCGAUAGAUCACAAUGCCUGGAAUGGUUUGUGAUUCAAAUGAUUUAUCGCCGUAGGAUGGGACUGCGGCCUAUCAGCUAGUUGGUGAGGUAAUGGCCCACCAAGGCUAUAACAGGUACGGGCUCUGAGAGGAGGGGCCCGGAGAUGGGUACUGAGACACGGACCCAGGCCCUAUGGGGCGCAGCAGGCGAGAAACCUUUGCAAUGUGCGAAAGCACGACAAGGUUAAUCCGAGUGUCUUCUGCUAAAGAAGUCUUUUGUUAGUCAUAGAACCACUGAUGAAUAAGGGGUGGGCAAGUUCUGGUGUCAGCCGCCGCGGUAAAACUAGCACCUCGAGUGGUCAGGAGGUUUAUUGGGCCUAAAGCAUCCGUAGCCGGUUGUUUAAGUUUUCGGUUAAAUCUAUGCGCUUAACGUAUAGGCUGCCGAAAAUACUGGACAGCUAGGGAGUGGGAGAGGUACACGGUACUCAAUAGGAAGGGGUAAAAUCCUUUGAUCUGUUGAUGACCACCUGUGGCGAAGGCGGUGUACCAGAACACGUUCGACGGUGAGGGAUGAAAGCUGGGGGAGCAAACCGGAUUAGAUACCCGGGUAGUCCCAGCUGUAAACGAUGCAAACUCGGUGAUGCAUUGGCUUGUGGCCAAUGCAGUGCCGCAGGGAAGCCGUUAAGUUUGCCGCCUGGGAAGUACGUACGCAAGUAUGAAACUUAAAGGAAUUGGCGGGGGAG
rnacentral:rRNA from 1 species